rnacentral:piRNA from 1 species
AGAAAAGUAAGUGGAAAAGAACUG